CGAGAACGAUAAACCGCCGAUCGCGUCGUGAACUGCGUUUUAAUGACCUACUUACUGGCCGCGCGUGGCGCUCGAGCGGCGCUCUGGGUGUCUGGUCGCGUGCGUGAAUAUGUUUAAAAACCAUGCAUCGGUUGCACAGAUGUCACAUCACUCCGGUCGUCGAUCAUGAGAGAACUGAACAUGUGUUGGAAGAUUAUUGCGACAUUGAGCUUGGACUGUUUUAAAGGCUCUCCGUCCUCUUCGCACAGGUCAUCCACAAAGCUGGGCUCGAGUCAGGCUGCUAGCAUGGAGAGCAGUUCUCUGACCGGUAGUCUGUCUCUGAACUCUGAUGUUCCUCACUGCCAGUGCUGCAUCUCCUACGAGGCCCGGCUGAAGCGUCUCUCCUGCGGCCACCUCUACUGCGACCCCUGCUCCGAUCAGAUCGUCAACCUGGCUUUUGAGGACAUAGAAGGUCUGGCUGAGUAUCCCUGCCCAAUGUGCAAAACUCUCCGUCACCUGGGAGGCUUCGCUCCAGCCCACAGCUGCCAGAGCAUGACCCACUGUUCGCCUUUCGGAAGUCAGAAGCAGCAGCUAGUUGAAGAGAAAGGAGGCCUGUGGGAAUGACUGUGCCAUUUAAAGAAAUAAAUAUGCUGAAAAUUUCAGGCCAUCCAAGAUGUAGAUGAGUGUUUCUUCAUGACAACAAAUUUAGAGAAAAUUAGCAUUGCAUCACUUGCUCGCCAAUGGAUCCUCUGCAGUGAAUGGGUGCCGUCAGAAUGAGAGUUCAAACAGCUGAUAAAAGUGUCACAAUAAUCCACACGACUCCAGUCCAUCCAUAAAAAAUCUUGGGAAGUGUAAAGGUGCACGUUUGUAGGAAACAAAUUCAUUAUUAAGAUGUUUUAACAUAAUCCAUGACUUUAAGCCAGAAGCAACUUGAAGUUAAAAUGUCUCAAUGAUGGAUUUGUUUAUUACAAACAUGCAGCUUUUUACUUAACAAGAUGUUAAUUGAUGGACUGGAGUCGUGUGGAUUACUUGUUUUUAUUACCCGUUUGGAAUUGGACUCUCAUUCUGACGGCACCCAUUCACUGCUGAAUUUCUCUAAAUUUGGUGUGAUGAAGAAAAACUCAUCUACGUCUUCAAUGGCCUGAGGGUGAGAUUCUCAGUUUUGGCUGAACUACUCUUUUACUGAUGUGGAUUUGUUUCAGGACACAGAUUUGACAUCUUUCCUUAUAAAGUUUAAAAGCUUACUACUCUUAACUACAGAUUUACCAGAAUAGAUCUGUCCCUCUUUUUCAGGUUGUGAUCCGCCAGUUGAGAUCCACUGUGAUAGUGUGACUGGGCUUCAUAUCAUGGUUCAAUAUUCAGCGAUAUUCAUACAAUGUUAAGUGAGACUUGCAUCGUAAGUGAAUCAUUUAAUAUGUUUCGUAUGCUCUCCAGUGC
rnacentral:lncRNA from 1 species